rnacentral:rRNA from 1 species
AUGUCAGUACCGAUAAGAACACGACUAGGCAGCGGCGCCCCAGGGCUGAUUUCCCAUGUGGCGUCAUAUUUCCUCUUCUCUAUUUCAUGUAUGCAACAAUAUAUUGGUGACGUUGUUGGCGGAAGCCGCGUUGGCCAUGCCCAUCCGGUCCUUCAUGAAGUUGACGAGGUUGGUGCUCAUGCCGUAGUAGGCCAGCCGCUCGCAGCACUCGCUCGCUGCAUGCAACCGAUCAAACACCUUGACGCCAUGAACACCAGCAAGAACAGAAGCAGAGUGAAGCAGAGCAACACGAACAAUGGUGUCGUGUGUAUGUGUUCGCACACGAACACGUCGCCGUGUACCUCCAACGUCAAGGGUGAUGCACCGCAGCUCACGUCGAAGGAGACCCGCCCGGAAGCGCGGUACGCAUGCAAUCCGGCGGGUGCUUUUGAGGACCCGAAACCCCACACGCUCGGGAAGGACCCCAUCUGGGCGCGCAGCGGCUAUGGGCUGCCCUAG